GCUUGGCUAAAAAGUUCAUUUGUGGUUUUUCUCUAAUAUCUUAUGGAAAAACCUGAACGAACUCUUUGGGC
rnacentral:miRNA from 1 species